CGUAGGUGGCAAGCGUUGUCCGGAAUUAUUGGGCGUAAAGCGCGCGCAGGCGGUUCCUUAAGUCUGAUGUGAAAGCCCCCGGCUCAACCGGGGAAGGUCAUUGGAAACUGGGGAACUUGAGUGCAGAAGAGAAGAGCGGAAUUCCACGUGUAGCGGUGAAAUGCGUAGAGAUGUGGAGGAACACCAGUGGCGAAGGCGGCUCUUUGGUCUGUAACUGACGCUGGGGCGCGAAAGCGUGGGGAGCAAACAGGAUUAGAUACCCUGGUAGUCCACGCCAUAAACGAUGAGUGCUAAGUGUUAGAGGGUUUCCGCCCUUUAGUGCUGCAGCUAACGCAUUAAGCACUCCGCCUGGGGAGUACGGCCGCAAGGCUG
rnacentral:rRNA from 1 species